CAGAUGGGAUUAGCUAGUUGGUGAGGUAACGGCUCACCAAGGCGACGAUCCCUAGCUGGUCUGAGAGGAUGACCAGCCACACUGGAACUGAGACACGGUCCAGACUCCUACGGGAGGCAGCAGUGGGGAAUAUUGCACAAUGGGCGCAAGCCUGAUGCAGCCAUGCCGCGUGUAUGAAGAAGGCCUUCGGGUUGUAAAGUACUUUCAGCGGGGAGGAAGGUGUUGUGGUUAAUAACCGCAGCAAUUGACGUUACCCGCAGAAGAAGCACCGGCUAACUCCGUGCCAGCAGCCGCGGUAAUACGGAGGGUGCAAGCGUUAAUCGGAAUUACUGGGCGUAAAGCGCACGCAGGCGGUCUGUCAAGU
rnacentral:rRNA from 1 species